GGCUCUUUGUUCUCUAAGAACUCCUCCAACUCCUCUACUUGAAAUUCUUCUCUUUGAACUUCCCAUAUUUGUGCUUCCCAUCUUCAUAUUUGAUUCAAAUUGUUGUGUGUGGUUACAAAAAUCAAGAAAAUAUGAAGGAAGAAAAAUGGAAUCUUUGAUUUUCUUGAUUUAGAGCUUUGAGUUCUUGAUGAUGUGUGUUUGAG
rnacentral:misc_RNA from 1 species